GCAGGUGAAAAGCCGAGCUGGGCCGACGACGGGCCGGUGGGCCCCGCUGGACCUGGGCUGCGCUUGUCGGCGCUAAAAUUACGAUCUGGGCCUUCUGGGCCCACGCAGGCCUCUGCGAGGGAGGGGGGUAGUUUCGGGAGUUCCGGUUUUACGUGGCCGAUCUACAGACGGGGGGAUACGUGGAACGAGCGUCGCUCUCUCGCCGGGCAGCUAGCCUCUACGCAUAUGCAGGUGUCGCCCGUGUUGGGCGUCGUGACAACCAACUUUUCGAUACCCACGUUCUUGCGAAAAGCUUUCCGUGUUUUCAAUUUUUUUCGUUUUGUGAAUUAGUUGGGUCAAUAAAGGGCGGUAACGGGAGAGCUUUUCCGUGGCCGGGCAAACGGGCGGAAAGCUUGGGAAAGAAGGAGAUCUCGCGCGUUGAAAUCUGCUUUUUUUCGUGCAUGAUUGUGAAGUCCACUACCUCCUGCUGCUGCCUGCUGUAGAGAGGUUCGGAAAUCCUUGCCGUCGAAGCAAGAUGACACGAGGAGUCGAGGAAGAGGUCGGCCCGUGUUGCAUGCACACAGCGUUGGCACCAGCUGCUUCUGCUCACUCCAUCUUCGUGUCAGCUGCGUCUGUCGAACGGUAUUGAUCGGUCGGUCCCCUUUAUUACGGAUACAAGACACACAGACAGACAGCUGCCCGGACGUGCAGGCGACACGUGGCCGAAAUCGAGGCGUUCCUGGAGAGAUUAUCAAGCAGUUGCUAGUAGGUGCUUACUUCUUCCUAGCUCAAGGUUUAUUUUGGUUAACUCUACAAACUCGUUUCGUGUGGCGCCUCACCAGCUCUGCUCGUCGUCCUUCCCAGGCAGGCCCGCAGUAUUAAGAAACGAACUGAGCAGGACUGGUAUGCAAUUGCUUUGAGAAGCAAAGAACUGAUCGGGCAAGAUUUUUAUUUUUUUAUUUUUAUUGCUGAGAGGGGAGUACGGAGAAGAAGUGAGGCAGAGCAAAACCAAAAGCCUUGCCACGAACGAAAUCCUUGUGUAUUCGGGCCUUCCGCGAGGCCGUCAACGCCUGCCAAUGUUUUUUUUUCCUUUUUUCUUUUUGAGCGAAGCCUGCGAAUGGUUAACGGUGCAGGCCGCCGGUGUCGCAGGCCCAUGUCGCUCGCCGAAUUUCGUUCCAAGACCAUGGGCCGAGUGGCGAGUAGCUUAUACUAACCGGGCCUUCGCAAGCACACAAUUUCCAGGCCCAAAGUUUCCUACUAUACUAAAGUGCACGCUGCUCCGUUCCGUACCAAUACCCAGCGGCCAUAUGGGCGGCCCCCAUAUACGCGUUAAACAAAACAUUACUGCAAGUAGUAUCCUGGAAUUCUUCGCUGUAGAUGAGAUGACAGGCAAACCAUGCGAAGUCGAUAAGCUUCGAUUCGACGGGUAACAAACAGAUCAAACCACUUUAUUAAUUAAUCACAUCAAACGAUAUAUUUUUCAGUUAUAUGAAAAUGAGUGGGAGGCGUAGAGAGCGACCGUGUACAAUAAUUGAGUGGAUUAAUUUACGGCCACCUGCCCAGUCGAUGAGCAGCAGCAUUACGGGCACGGCACGCUCGAUCGAAACGCAAGGUCAAAGGGGUUGGCAUCACCCGGAUAACAACGUCGACGUACGGGAAAAGAGUUUGGGCGUUCCAAACCACUCAUCCAUUAGUAAGCGCGUUUAGCAGAUUAGAUUGUUGUCAACAAAAUUAAAAUACUCCAUAUUGUAGUAGCAAUUCCAUGUGUUAAUAGGGUAUCCUAGUGCGUGGGGUUUCAGGUAUCGCCCGAGUAACAACUUUUGGGCAAAGCCCCAAGAGGAGUGCUUUCGGCCCUUUUUGAUCCGCAUAAUUCAUAAAACAAAUGCAAGAUCAAAUUGGCAUGUCGUAUU
rnacentral:lncRNA from 1 species